rnacentral:rRNA from 1 species
GGGGCCCGCACAGCGGUGGAGCAUGUGGUUUAAUUCGACGCAACGCGAAGAACCCUACCAGGGCUUGACAUCCCCUGACCGCGUAUGAAAGUACGUUUUCACCUCGGGUGACAGGGAGACAGGUGGUGCAUGGUUGUCGUCAGCUCGUGUCGUGAGAUGUUGGGUUAAGUCCCGCAACGAGCGCAACCCCUACGUUUAGUUGCUAACGCGUGAAGGCGAGCACUCUAGACGAACUGCCGUUGACAAAACGGAGGAAGUGGGGAUGACGUCAAAUCAUCAUGCCCCUUAUGUUCUGGGCUACACACGUGCUACAAUGGCCGGUACAGACGGACGCAAAGCCGCGAGGUGGAGCAAAUCCUAAAAAGCCGGUCUCAGUUCGGAUUGCAGGCUGCAAUUCGCCUGCAUGAAGUCGGAAUCGCUAGUAAUCGCAGGUCAGCAUACUGCGGUGAAUACGUUCCCGGGCCUU